GUGGGGAAUAUUGCGCAAUGGAGGCAACUCUGACGCAGCCAUGCCGCGUGCAGGAAGAAGGCGCUACGCGUUGUAAACUGCUUUUAACCGGGAAGAAACCCCAGGACGUGUCCUGGGUUGACGGUACCGGAGGAAUAAGCACCGGCUAACUUCGUGCCAGCAGCCGCGGUAAUACGAAGGGUGCAAGCGUUAUCCGGAUUCAUUGGGUUUAAAGGGUGCGUAGGCGGAGCGUUAAGUCAGUGGUGAAAUCCUGCAGCUUAACUGUAGACUUGCCAUUGAUACUGGCGCUCUUGAGUGCGCUUGAAGUGGGCGGAAUGUGCCGUGUAGCGGUGAAAUGCUUAGAUAUGGCACAGAACACCAAUUGCGAAGGCAGCUCACUAAGGCGAUACUGACGCUGAGGCACGAAAGCGUGGGGAUCGAACAGGAUUAGAUACCCUGGUAGUCC
rnacentral:rRNA from 1 species